rnacentral:tRNA from 1 species
AAGGGUAUAGCUCUGUGGUAGAGCGCUUACUUAGCCUGCAAGGUCCUGGGUUCAAUUCCCAGCACCUCCA